GCGUCAGUGGUAUAGUGGCAGCAUGCGAGCCUUCCAAGCUUGCGACCCGGGUUCGAUUCCCGGCUGACGCACCA
rnacentral:tRNA from 1 species